rnacentral:rRNA from 1 species
UGAGGAAUAUUGGACAAUGGGCGCAAGCCUGAUCCAGCCAUGCCGCGUGCAGGAUGACGGUCCUAUGGAUUGUAAACUGCUUUUGUACAGGAAGAAACAGUUCUACGUGUAGAACCUUGACGGUACUGUAAGAAUAAGGAUCGGCUAACUCCGUGCCAGCAGCCGCGGUAAUACGGAGGACCCAAGCGUUAUCCGGAAUCAUUGGGUUUAAAGGGUCCGUAGGCGGUUAGAUAAGUCAGUGGUGAAAGCCCAUCGCUCAACGGUGGAACGGCCAUUGAUACUGUCUGACUUGAAUUAUUAGGAAGUAACUAGAAUAUGUAGUGUAGCGGUGAAAUGCUUAGAGAUUACAUGGAAUACCAAUUGCGAAGGCAGGUUACUACUAAUGGAUUGACGCUGAUGGACGAAAGCGUGGGUAGCGAACAGGAUUAGAUACCCACGUAGUCCCUGAGCGGGCUGGCAAGGCGCAU